UUUUAUGGAUGUGCAAAGAAAAUGGCUUCUUGAGAUGGAAGCUAUGUUGGUGAAGAUGCUGUGAA
rnacentral:pre_miRNA from 1 species